GACAGCUCCUCGGUGUCGGCCCCACCUUGAGCCCCUGUUCCACCUUCUACCGCUUCAGCACCUCCGGCGCGGACAGCUCCUCGCUGUCGCCUCCACUCCCGGCCCUGGGCCGGACCCGGGAGCAGACGCUCCCCGGCGCCCGCUCACGGGGACGAGUCCUGCUCUCUGCUAUCCCAGACCCCUUUCUCUGGAGCAUGGAGAACCUGGGGGUCGGCGAAGGGGCAGAGGCGUGCAGCAGGUUGAGUCGCUCUCGCGGCCGCCACAGCAUGACCAGAGCCCCGAAGCACCUGUGGCGGCAACCCCGGCGCCCCAUCCGCAUCCAACAGCGCUUCUAUUCGGAUCCGGACAAGUCCGCGGGCUGCCGCGAGAGCGACCUGAGCCCGCGGCCCGAGCUCAGGAAGUCUCGGCUCUCCUGGCCCGUUUCCUCCUGCAGGCGCUUUGACCUGGAAAAUGGGCUCUCGUGCGGGAGGAGGGCCCUGGACCCUCAGUCCAGCCCUGGCCUGGGCCGGGUUAUGCAGGCUCCAGUCCCGCACAGCCAGCGGCGCGAGUCCUUCCUGUACCGCUCAGAUAGCGACUAUGAACUCUCGCCCAAGGCCAUGUCUCGGAACUCCUCUGUGGCCAGCGACCUACAUGGAGAGGACAUGAUUGUGACGCCCUUUGCCCAGGUCCUGGCCAGUCUGCGGACCGUUCGGAGCAACGUGGCGGCCCUUGCCCGCCUGCAAUGCCUAGGAGCAGCCAAGUAGGUAGAGGGCGGGGCGGGGCAGGGGCGGGCCGGCAGAGACAAGGUGGGAGGGGCGGGGCGGGGCCUGGCGGAAAGCGGGCUGCAAAUUGAGGCUGGGGCUCCGGAGCCUCCAGGUGGGUUUGAGGGGCGGGGCCUGGUGGACUUGGGGGCGGGGCGAGAUGGGCGGAGCAGCCACGCCUGAGGCUGCUGUACCGCAGGCAGGGACCCGUCGGAAACCCUUCAUCCAGCAAUCAGCCCCCUCCGCCUGCAGGUAAAGUACCUGUUCCUUCCCUCCCCCGCUGAGGACAGCUGGGAGCUUCCUUUCCAUAGUGAUCUCCCCAUUCCAUGAGCCCCUUAGACUGGGGCUAAUUGUAGCCCCGCCCCUGCAAAAAGAAACAAUAACGCCCUCGGGGAUGGACCCCACCACACUCAUAUUACAGAUGAGGAGGCUGAGGCCCAGAGAUCUCAUGGUCACACAGGCACUCGGGGGACACAUCUGGAACUGGGGUCCAGGAGUCCUGGGUGGCCCCCGUGGGAACAGUUUCAGGGUCCAGAUGCAGAGACGAAGGCGUGAGAGGCAUGGGGUCCCUGAGCGGGGGUUGGGCAGGCCCCUGACUGCCUCGGCUCCCAGAGGACACGGGGCAGAAGCUGGCAUUGGAGACGCUAGACGAGCUGGACUGGUGCCUGGAUCAGUUGGAGACGCUGCAGACCCGGCACUCGGUGGGGGAGAUGGCCUCCAACAAGUUCAAGCGGAUCCUGAACCGGGAGUUGACCCACCUGUCCGAAACCAGCCGCUCUGGGAACCAGGUGUCCCAGUACAUCUCCCGGACCUUCCUGGUAGCGAUGGGGUUUCACCAUGUUGCUCAGACUGGUCUCGAUCCGCCCACCUCGACCUCCCAAAGCACUGGGAUUACAGGCGCGAGCUACCGCGUCCGGCCGACAGGGUCUUUACUCCGAACUUACUUUGGUUCCUGUAGAAAGGGAAAUAGGUUGAUCCUGGGGUUUGGCAAAGUUCAGGUCCUGAGGCCAGGCCCCAGCAGGUGAAAUCGGCUUCUCUGAGCCUCACCCUGGCCCAUCCACAGACCAGCAGACUGAGGUGGAGCUGCCCAAGGUGACAGCUGAGGAGGCCCCACAGCCCAUGUCCCGGAUCAGUGGCCUACGUGGGCUCUGCCAGAGUGCCAGCCUCUCCUCAGCCACUGUCCCACGCUUUGGGGUCCAGACUGACCAGGAGGAGCAGCUGGCCAAGGAGCUAGAAGACACCAACAAGUGGGGACUUGAUGUGUUCAAGGUGGCGGAGCUAAGUGGGAACCGGCCCCUCACAGCUAUCAUAUUCAGCAUUUUUCAGGAGCGGGACCUGCUGAAGACAUUCCAGAUCCCAGCAGACACACUGGCCACCUACCUGCUGAUGCUGGAGGGUCACUACCACGCCAGUGUAGCCUAUCACAACAGCCUACAUGCCGCCGACGUGGCCCAGUCCACGCAUGUGCUGCUGGCUACGCCCGCCCUCCAGGCUGUGUUCACAGACUUGGAAAUCCUGGCUGCCCUCUUUGCAAGUGCCAUCCAUGAUGUGGACCAUCCUGGGGUCUCCAACCAGUUUCUGAUUAACACCAACUCAGAGCUGGCGCUUAUGUACAACGACGCCUCGGUGCUGGAGAACCACCACCUGGCUGUAGGCUUCAAACUGCUGCAGGCAGAGAACUGCAAUAUCUUCCAGAACCUCAGUGCCAAGCAGCGACUGAGUCUGCGCAGGAUGGUCAUUGACAUGGUGCUGGCCACAGACAUGUCCAAACACAUGAACCUCCUGGCCGACCUCAAGACCAUGGUGGAGACCAAGAAGGUGACAAGCCUCGGUGUCCUCCUCCUGGACAACUAUUCCGACCGAAUCCAGGUCUUGCAGAACCUGGUGCACUGUGCUGAUCUGAGCAACCCCACCAAGCCGCUGCCCCUGUACCGCCAGUGGACGGACCGCAUCAUGGCCGAGUUCUUCCAGCAGGGAGACCGCGAGCGUGAGUCGGGCCUGGACAUCAGUCCCAUGUGUGACAAGCACACAGCCUCAGUGGAGAAGUCCCAGGUGGGUUUCAUUGACUACAUCGCCCACCCACUGUGGGAGACUUGGGCUGACCUGGUCCACCCAGACGCACAGGACCUGCUGGACACGCUGGAGGACAAUCGAGAGUGGUACCAGAGCAAGAUCCCCCGAAGUCCCUCAGACCUCACCAACCCCGAGCGGGACGGGCCUGACAGAUUCCAGUUUGAACUGACUCUGGAGGAGGCAGAGGAAGAGGAUGAGGAGGAAGAAGAGGAAGAGGAGGGGGAAGAGACAGCUUUAGACAAAGAGGCCUUGGAGUUGCCUGACACUGAACUCCUGUCCCCUGAAGCCGGCCCAGACCCUGGGGACUUACCCCUCGACAACCAGAGGACUUAGGGCCAGCCCUGCGUGAACUGCAGGGGCAGUGGAUGGUAAAGCCCUUUGGCUCUUGGCAGGCAGACUUUCCAGGAAGAGGCUCCAUGUGGCUCCUGCUUCACUUUCCCACCCAUUGAGGGAGACAAUCAAGCUUUUAGUUAUAGGUGGCUCCCAGGGUCUAAUUGGAGGCACCUGGCUGGGGUCCACUCUGACCCCAGACUUGCCUAAAAGAGCUCUCUAAGGGGCAGCCUCUUACAAUGCCCUUGGUGUCUUUCUCCUGGGCUUCUAUCCCUGUGAGGAGAGGUGCCGUCUGCUGGAGCCUCUAGUCCACCCUCUCCAGUGGUCACUCUUGAGCCACAUCUGUCACUUAAUUAUUUCCUUCUUUAUCAAAUAUUUAGU
rnacentral:sRNA from 1 species